rnacentral:rRNA from 1 species
AACGAACGCUGGCGGCAUGCCUAACACAUGCAAGUCGAACGAGAUCUUCGGGUCUAGUGGCGCACGGGUGCGUAACGCGUGGGAAUCUGCCCUUUGGUUCGGAAUAACAGUUGGAAACGACUGCUAAUACCGGAUGAUGACGAAAGUCCAAAGAUUUAUCGCCAGAGGAUGAGCCCGCGUAGGAUUAGCUAGUUGGUGUGGUAAAGGCGCACCGAGGCGACGAUCCUUAGCUGGCCCGAGAGGAUGAUCAGCCACACUGGGACUGAGACACGGCCCAGACUCCUACGGGAGGCAGCAGUGGGGAAUAUUGGACAAUGGGCGAAAGCCUGAUCCAGCAAUGCCGCGUGAGUGAUGAAGGCCUUAGGGCUGUAAAGCUCUUUUACCCGGGAUGAUAAUGACAGUACCGGGAGAAUAAGCUCCGGCUAACUCCGUGCCAGCCGCCGCGGUAA